GUGGACCCUUAGGCGUAGCACCUGCACCGCCCUGCCCUGGGGAGGCGACCCCGAGUACCCACGCGGGACACUGGUAAAGGGGGCAUUGUUGGACAUGACUAGCUCUGUCUGGUUCCUGGAGAGGGACAUAAAGGGUGUGUUUGUGCUAGGGUACAAAGAGAGGAUGGCAUCUUCCUUUGCCACCGGAGUAUUGGGGAACUAGGAGGUGCGACCGGCCUUUGGCUUCCUGCACAGUCGGAAUCCGGAGGAUCUUUAAGGUCAAGGACAUCGGCCAGACAGUGAUAAGGACAGGAGCUGGUGUCUUAACCGGAGCAACAGACAUUCAAGCUGAAUGAGGCUGAAUGAGCACAGAAGGGGGAAGGGGGAAGAGGAAACACUUGCGAUAAAAUAGGGAAGAAGCAAAGCUACCUCUGCCAAGAAAGCCAGCUUCUCACUGAAGCUCUCCUGAUUGGGGAGUGUUCCUAAGAGAAUCAGCCUCUGCCAGGAGAUGGAAGUGGCUUAUUUUGAAGACAACAUCCUCACACGUGUGUGUCCCUGUAUAUCUGGGACCCCCAGCUAAGUGUCAGUUCCUUGCUCAGAGAACCUGUGAUUGGGAUUCUCUGGGGGGAAAUGUUCAAAAUGAAUCAAUUAUCACCACCAGCAGAGAGUUCAAUACCACUGUACAGGGACCCAGCUUUGUAUUAGUGCAUGAAUGAAUUACUGGUACUCAUGUCAUUUGCAAAUAACCAUCAUUAUAGCGCAGUGGAAAAUUCCCCCUACCCAUUUAGUCUAAGUAGCACCUUAGCAGAGCAUUGCAAUAACCCUCAUGGACCCUCCAAAAUAUUUGCACAUAUAUGUUCAGAUUAAGCUCCAGAUAGUUUAAUAUGAGAGUAUCUAUUUGGACACAAGGUCACCCCUUACACUCAUUAAACCAAUCUGAAUGAGGUCUGAUAACUCUUAAGGGAAAUCAGCACUUGAAAUGCUUUCGACUUUUUGGAGACACGGAUGGAAUAUAUCAGCAGGCUUCGCUCAGCAUGAGACAGCUCUGAAAACUCCAGAAAGGACAUAUCGCUGUCCCACCCCACCCUCAGAGUCGUUCUUCACACAUCUAAGGCUUGUGGUGGGUGUGAAUUUAAUGUAAGGGGUGGGGGGAGUGGAGAACUUUACAGAAAAAGUGUGUUUCUUCUGACCAAAUCUGAUCUGAGUCAAUUUUUCUGCUGAUUCCUCCUACCCAGUGGGAAUUUUUAAAAAAUACAUAACGAGCACAUUUUGUGUUCUAAAGGACAUGAAUAAAAUGAUCCAGAGCUGUGGAGAUAACUCAGUGUGUAAUUGUGCUUGUUUUCCAUGAGAGCAAGGAGUGCUUAGUUCAAAUUCUCCAAACCUAGAGAAAAGAAAUGCUAGGCUUAGUCAUGUAUCUGUAACUCUACCUUUUUGCCGGCAUUGGGGUGGAUAUAGGGACUUGAUGGCCAGCCAUCCUGAGCAGCUUUAGGUUAAGUGAGAUACUUAUCAUGUCCCAAAGUGUAAGACAGCAGGUAGUGGGGAAAGAACCCCUGAAGUCUCCCUUUGGCAUAUACACUCAUAGACAUGCACCUGUCCCUGGACACACAGGCAACACAC
rnacentral:lncRNA from 1 species